GCCACCUCAGGGGAAGCAACAGAUCGUCACUCGGUGUUCUCACCGAAAGCACGUAAUCGCCGGUGUAACUCAUGUUGGCUGGGGGGCCUCCCGGCGCGCGCGGAGAGGCUGGGGUGCGCCCCCAUGCAGCAUGCUUGUGCUCAAUUGCAGGGUCCUCGUUCUCGAGUGUGCAGAGGGCGGUGAGAGCUCAACUCUCGUCCCCACCUCCCACCCGCAGCUCCCCGGGUGGGUGAGGGAUGCCCUGGACUGGGGAUAGCCAGGUGGGAGUCCGUCGCUGUGUGGCCUGUGGUCUCGGAGUCUGUUCUCCUGGAGUCUCGCAUUUGCACCCCCUUCUUCGCAGUCCCCCUCCCAUAGACUUGCUCUGGGAAGCGCCUCUGCCUCCGACCCUAGCCGGAACCCCUUCGGGGCCAGAGUUUGAAGCCGUGGAUGUGCCUGCCUGGUGGCUUGUCCGAUUUGCACGGUGACUUGAUUACACUCUCUCAUUCAUGGUCACUUCCGAAGCGCUUUAGUGCCUUCCGUCCCUAAACCGCCAACAGCCAGAACGGCUUCUCCCCGCGGUUUGUCACUGAUCCGCAGGGCCCGGAAGGGCCUUCGUCUUACCCGGGAUCCACCUCUCCCCUCAUCUUCCCUGCCUACCUCUUCAUCCCACCUUCUGUCCUUGGAGAAACUCCCUCCUCCUCGCUGCCUGCCGGGCUUCGGAGUGACUCGGCAGAGACAGAGGCACAGGGGCUGCCCUGCUGCUCACCGGUCCACCCAUCUGCCUGGUCUUCUGGAGCUGAGGACUCGGGAAACCAUGCAAUUGAGGCAAGCCUUGGGCUGCUUUAGAGGCGCUGACAUCCGAGGAGACUUCUCCUGGGAGGUCCAACAGCCGAGCUUAGCCCACCGGGCUCUGGGAAAGACCCGACUGAGGCUAAAGCCGCCCCGGAAGGCCAAGUCCGAGUUCCAUUUCUUGAAGAGGCCGGCGCGCGUAAGGCUGUGACAUUGGCCCUGGCGACUGGCUUCCCAGGAGCUGUUCUUUCUCAGGAGCUCCACAGCGCGGGCCAUCUCCAGAAAACUGUCUUCAGAGUGUAUUUCCUUUUAUCGUCAACCCAGAGCCCCACCGCGGCUAAUGCAAGAGGCCAAAAAAUGUUUGGAGGAAGAAAAACAAAGGCAGGAAGUGGCGGCGGCCUGACGGUGCGUGUGUGUCUGCAGAGAAGGGAGGGAGCCGGCUCAGUCUCUUCUUGUUUUUCCAAACUUCAAGGUCCAGGCAGCCCUCUGCAGGGCCGGGCCCCAUUGCUCCCCGCGCGGCAUUGGAGGUGGCCGCCCGGAGAGGAGAAGGCCAACGCCUGCGCCAGGCUUGUCAGGCGGAAACGGCUAACAAGGAGAUUUGGUCAGCAAAACAGACCCAGCCUUUCCGAGGCUUCGUCUGACUUGGCCCGAAAGGUUGGGGAGGGGGGGCUUGCGCAGAGCCUCAGGGACCCUCCUCUCUGGGGACUACCAUCCCUGAGCCUUACGCUUCUUUCCACAGCCUUUGCAGGCGGAAUAUCGGAAUAAAGUGGGUCCAGGCGCC
ensembl:lncRNA HOXA11-AS HOXA11 antisense RNA